UACGUAGGGUGCGAGCGUUGUCCGGAAUUAUUGGGCGUAAAGAGCUCGUAGGCGGUUUGUCGCGUCGACUGUGAAAACCCGAGGCUUAACCUCGGGCCUGCAGUCGAUACGGGCAGACUAGAGUUCGGUAGGGGAGACUGGAAUUCCUGGUGUAGCGGUGAAAUGCGCAGAUAUCAGGAGGAACACCGGUGGCGAAGGCGGGUCUCUGGGACGGUUACUGACGCUGAGACGCGAAAGCGUGGGGAGCAAACAGG
rnacentral:rRNA from 1 species